rnacentral:tRNA from 1 species
GCAGUCGUGGCCUACUGGUUAGCGCUUCGGACUUGUAACCGGAGGGUUUGCGGUUCGAACCCCGAGGCACGGCUGCA